GAUGAAGAACGUAGUGAAAUGCGAUAAGUAGUGUGAAUUGCAGAAUUCAGUGAAUCAUCGAAUCUUUGGACGCACAUUGCGCCCCUUGGUAUCCCGAGGGGCAUGCCUGUUCGAGCGUCAUUUCACCACUCAAGCCUGGCUUGGUGUUGGGCGACGUCCCCUUUAGGGACGCGCCUCGAAACGCUCGGCGGCGCGGCACCGGCUUUAAGCGUAGCAGAAUCUUUCGCUUUGGAAGUCGGGGCCCCGCCUGCCGGAAUACCUACUUGUAAGGUUGACCUCGGAUCAGGCAGGGAUACCCGCUGAACUUAAGCAUAUCAAUAAGCGGAGGA
rnacentral:misc_RNA from 1 species